GCCUUUUAAGCUAACGGGUAAGCAAUUAAUCUUGUAAAUUAAAAGGAAGGGUUCAAGCCCCUUUUAAGGCU
rnacentral:tRNA from 1 species